rnacentral:rRNA from 1 species
AUGCAGUUGGUCCGGUCUAGAAAGACUUCAAUUAACAUAAAUAGUGAGGUGGGACCAUUCUUUACGUACUCAGCGGGAGUGAAUCAAGGGGAUCUGAUAUCCCCUCUUCUCUUCAACCUCGUUGUGGAUGCAUUAGCAGGAAUUUUGGAUAAAGCUAGGACGGCAGGUCACCUAUUGGGGGUAGUGGGUCACCUGAUCCCGGGAGGAGGGGUCACCCACCUCCAAUAUGCCGAUGACACCAUGAUUAUGGUGGAGGGAUCCGACCUGGACAUUGUGAAUCUUAAGUUCCUACUCUUAUGCUUUAAGGCUAUGUUAGGACUAAAGAUCAACUUUGACAAGAGCGAGGUCAUCAUCGUAGGAUUCCCCGUAGAGGAACAACAACGGAUUGCGGACAACCUCAAUUGCAGACUAGCCUAA